UCAUCUUCUCCUCUUUCUAUGUUCCACCAUCAUUACCUCCGACCACUAUACACAGAUACAUUCGCAUGAAACGAAGAACAAAGUGAAUUAGGGCUGGUGGACUGAUUCGAUCAAGAGUUUUUGCUUCUUUCAAUCAUUUAGAGGAAGGAAUCUUCAGAUAUCAGAGCUCAGGUCAGGCACUAUCUGAGUGGAGCGGAGACAAAAGUGAAUUCUCGAAUCAAGUCCGAAAGGUAUUUAGAAGAUGUGAAAGCUCCUAAGCAAGCUUUCCCUUCACACGUUUCUGUCAUGGUUUUAGAGGUGCUGAUCAGGCAUUCAAAAGAUCAAGGUCAUUUGCCUGUUAAAUUUACUCAGUUCAGACUUGAUCUUCUCAAGAAUGUUGAGAGCAAUGCUGAGGUCAAAGUUUUGGAUGUUGAUGCCCUUUUCAUAUCACACACCCAAGUGAACCAAGCAGCAAAACAUAGGUGGAGGACCUAUCGUGUCCUGUAAGAAUCCAUAGUAUGUUCUUCAUGAUGCUACUCUUUUUUCAACUUUUGUUUCAGUCACAAUGUGCUGACUCUCUCUUUAUUUUGCUGCUUACAUAUCAAACACAUGCCACAUUGAGUUGAUUUUGUCAAAGAAGGAAGAGCCUGUGAAGAAAUAGCGAAGCCAAAGAAAGGAGCUUCUUCCUGAGCUUUCGUGAUCGUUUGUGUUACAACGCUUGAUACACUUUGUUUACCUUUUUUUCACUUUGUUUACUUCUCUUUCAUUUAGACAAGUAACCGUAAUUGUAAAGAUAUAAUGAUGAUUGGUUUCUGGAUUACUCAAGCUUUAAACUCUUUACGCUUUUGAGGUAGAUUAACAUAUACAAAACUUUGAAAUAAGGUGCAUCUGAGUUGUAAUUUCGCCUAAAUUUGAUUGAUGUUUACUAGCUUUUCGUCCAAGUAAAAAAAGAUUUAACAACUUAAUUAUGUUGAGAACAUAUUUUCCUUAUUCAUUUAUUUUUGAAAACAGAAAGUAUUUUUGCUUCCCAUUUGUGAUUUUCAGGACACAUUAUUGUGUUGCUUUGCAAAUAAAUGGGCAAUACGAUUAUGGGUCUUAACCAAUUAAAACUAAUAGGAGUAUUAUGGAAGUUGAAAUUUAAAUAAUAAAACAUAGUAUAUAAUAUAUCUACAGAUAAUAUUAUAAUUAAAAAUAUAUAAAAACUCUAUUGUGGAAAUAUUAUUUUUUUAAAUGUAAUAUUGUAAUCUCAGUAACAGUUAAAAAGGUUUGUUUAAAUAAUUUGCUUAUAAAUUUUGGAUCUCAAACAUAUUAACAUUUAUAUAUAUGGAAUGUUGGAAUUUAAAAAAAAAACAGUAUAUAUUAUAUCCACAAACAAUAUUAUAAACAAAACUAUAUAUAAAAAAAACUAUGGUUUUUUUAUAAAUAAUUUUAUAUAUUCUAAUCUCGGUAACAAUUAGAAAGAUUUGUUUAAAUAAUUUCCGCCCUUGAAAAGGGCGGGUUACUAUCUAGUAUAAGUAUAUAACAAAGUGUUUUAUUGAAAUUAUCUAUGGGACCUACUUCAUCGUAAUUUCAGGUGAGAUUAAAUAAACGGUUAAUGCUUUGAAGCCGUUCACUGGGUUUAGUGGUCUAAAGUUCUUGCACAAAGUCAACCUUUUGGACCUUGCUUACGAUGCCGUUUUGCGAACUUUCUCCUUUUUUGUUCCCCUCGCAUCAUUUUUGUGUGUUCAAACGAUAUGAUUUAUCUUCUUAGGGUAUGACUGGUUUUCCCGCUACCAUCCGCAAACGCAGCUUUUGCGGUUGGUAGCAGUUGUUGGCGUUUUGCAACAAUCGCUCAAACUGUUCCAAACCGUUUCAAAUCGCUCCGAACCUCAUAAAUUCAAAAGCUGGUUCCAGCUAGCGUUUGCGGUUGCGGAAGGAUAAAAAAAAUUUCUUUUUUUCCAAAACAAUAUAAAUACAAAAAUAAAAAUAUUCAAUAAAAAAUUAAAUUAGAAUUAUAAAAAUGCUAAAAUAUA